GCAGCCCAGCCCCACUGUGGGGACCGGGGGGCUGUGAGCACCAUGGCCUGGACUCCUCUCCUGCUCGUGUUCCUCUCUCUCUGCACAGGGUGCCUCUCCCAGCCUGUGCUGACUCAGCCUCCCUCCCUCUCUGCAUCUCCUGGAGCAUCAGCCAGACUCACCUGCACCCUGAGCAGUGGGUACAUUGUUGGUGGCUACCACAUAGUCUGGUACCAGCAGAAGCCAGGGAGCUCUCCCCGGUACCUCCUGAGGUUCAAGUCAGACUCUGAUAAGCACCAGGGCUCCGGGGUCCCCAGCCGCUUCUCUGGAUCCAAAGAUGCCUCGGCCAACUCAGGGCUCCUGCUCAUCUCUGCGCUGCAGCCCGAGGACGAGGCUGACUAUUACUGUGCUACAGUUCACGGCAACACUGGUACUUACACUGUGCUCCAGACCCACAGGGAAGUGAGACUAAAAGCUCCCCUGUGCCCUCCCCCUGAGACAGUCACUGCUGCUCUGCCUGGACCACGUCUAACUCAGGGUGACCUUCUGUUGUCACUUCUGAAUUUCCUGAGAAUGACAAAUCUGACCCUGUCAUAUGCUUUUCCUCCCCUCAAAUCUGAGACUGACCCAUUGCUCUGAUACCUCAGCCGGCUCAUGUUUUCACAGACAAAACUUCCAUGCUCAGAGAUAAAAAUCUCCAAGUGGGGACUUCCCUGGUGGUGCAGUGGUUGAGAAUCUGCCUGCCAAUGCAGGGGACACGGGUUUGAGCCCUGUUCUUGGUAGAUCCCACAUGCCAUGGAGCAACUAAGCCCGUGCGCCACAACUAUUGAGCCUGUGCUUUAGAGCCUGUGAGCCACAACUACUGAGCCCACGGGCCACAACUACUGAGGCCCACGUGCCUAGAGCCCAUGCUCUGCAACAAGAGAAGCCACCGCAAUGAGAAGCCCGUGCACCGCAAUGAAGAGUAGCCCCCGCUUGCCACAACUAGAGAAAGCCCACGCACAGCAACGAAG